AAUGAACGCUGGCGGCGCGCCUAAUACAUGCAAGUCGAGCGAGAAGACGUAGCAAUACGUUUGUAAAGCGGCGAACGGGUGAGGAAUACAUGGGUAACCUACCCUAGAGUGGGGAAUAACUAGCCGAAAGGUUAGCUAAUACCGCGUACGCUCCUUGGACUUCGGUUCAGGGAGGAAAGCGCUACCGAGGGUAGCGCGCUCUUGGAUGGGCUCAUGUCCUAUCAGCUUGUUGGUGAGGUAACGGCUCACCAAGGCUUCGACGGGUAGCUGGUCUGAGAGGACGAUCAGCCACACUGGCACUGCGACACGGGCCAGACUCCUACGGGAGGCAGCAGUAAGGAAUAUUGCGCAAUGGGCGAAAGCCUGACGCAGCGACGCCGCGUGGGGGAUGAAGGUCUUCGGAUUGUAAACCCCUUUCGGGAGGGAAG
rnacentral:rRNA from 1 species